rnacentral:rRNA from 1 species
UACGGAGGGGGCUAGCGUUGUUCGGAAUUACUGGGCGUAAAGGGCGCGUAGGCGGUGCGAUCAGUCAGGCGUGAAAGGCCCCGGGCUCGAACCCGGGGACUGCGCUUGAUACUGUUGCGCUGUGAGUCCGGGAGAGGAUGGCGGAAUUCCCAGUGUAGAGGUGAAAUUCGUAGAUAUUGGGAAGAACACCAGUGGCGAAGGCGGCUCACUGGCUCGGUACUGACGCUGAGGUGCGAAAGCGUGGGAGCAAACAGG